GUUGAUCCGAGUUUAUCUAUACCGACUAGAUUGGUCAGAUAUGAAAUGUGCUAACCUAAACCAUAUUGGUUAGUACAUUAGAUGUAUGUGACUGAUUAGAACAGAUCUAAAUCUAAAUUUCCUCACAAAUAUUAAGUCUACUGGUCUUCUACCGUUGUAGCGAUGCGGGUGCCUUUUCCGACAUUGAUCGUUCUCAGCUAGUUAUAGUGGUUCG
rnacentral:lncRNA from 1 species